rnacentral:lncRNA from 1 species
GCUCUUUGUGUUCGUGUAAUACUAUUUCAUCUGCAGACGUUCUGUGUUUGUAUCCCAGCAUAUUUCACAAUGUUCUUUGAAUAUCACUUGCAUAUCAGUGUGUCCGUUUUUAUCUAACAGACUUGAUUUCUCCUCAAUCUUUUCUGUUCCUGACUCUGGAGAACCCAAGCCUCCUCCUGGUUAACUUGUGACCUUCAAAGCCUGUUGCUUAGUCAGAAGAUUUACAUAUUCUCAGGCAGGCUGAUUAGUUCAUUCAAGUUGUGUAUGUUCAUUCAGCUGUGUUAUGUGAUAGGCCCCAGAAGACAUUAAAAUUCCUUUGAGUAAAGCGGGUAACACUUUCCACUAAUUGAGAAAUGUGGGACUUUUAGAGGCCACCACCCAGCAUUGAUCUCCUAACUCUACUCUUAGUUUUCCCCUAUGGAAAUACUUUUUUGUAUUUUUUCCCUCAUAAAUAGAAUGCAGGCUGUGAACAGGCGAAAAGCCAAGGUGAAAAUAACCAAAAAAGUAUGAAGAAAGUGAAAGAUACACUCUCAUUCCAGGUUUCCUUUUCUGGUUGCUUAUUCAUUUCAGGUCUAGGACUACAUUUCAGAGGAAAUGGUAGAGAUUCAUAGCCGGGAGGAGGGGAGGUAGAGGGAGAAGCUGCUGUCCCAGGAGUCUAGGGAAGGAAGAGUCAAUUAAAAAAAAGUACAAGUGGCCAGUAGCCCCAGGGGAGGAUGCUGUCCUGUUUUGGUAAUUGGAGGAAGGGAAACACAACUAGAGGAAAAUGGGAUUAGCCGCAAAGAAGAAAGAGUAACAAGGCCUGGUAUGGGGGAGGGAAUGAAGGGGGGGCGGGUCCUCUUCUGCCGCACUGCUGGUGGGAGGGGAAAGUGGGGAUCCGAGUUGGUGGAUGACGUCGCUCUCACGUGACCAAGAGCUGACGUGUGCAGAAGUCCUUCUUGUCCUGGUCGUUGUUCCCGUCUGAGUACCAGCUCCUUAUCACCCUGAGGGCGGGCGAGCCUGUAGCCGAGGCAAGAAGGAGGCGGAAAAGAAAUUGUCCCGGAUCCCUGCAGGUCUGCUGUAGCAGGUGGCACCUCUUGAAGCAAGGGAGGAACUUUCCCCGGAUCAGUAGAGAUCAGAAAGAUUGUUGGGCGUGGCAAUACCUCACAGGAAAGGAAGAAGGGGGCAAACUGCUUGUUUCCAGGAGGUUAGUGUAUGGGUGCCUAUCCCAUAGGGUAUCACAGGAGCCUGUGACGGAUGAGAGCACAGAAAAAAUUGCGGAUGCCGUUGACUUUAUGCUUAGAGGCAAGAGUGACUGGGGGUGGGGGGAAGGGAGGAGAGGCAUUCAAGGAGAGAGUGAAAUGAGGGAGAUCGAGGUUUUUGUCAACAAUAUGUAUUCCCUAUGCAGAAUUCAAUUACUACCUUCUGGCCCCUCGGUGUGAUUGUCUGCAUGGGGCAGUGCAGAGAAGAGAAAGCUGAACCCUCUUUUCUUCUUCCAUUUCUAGGUUUGUCUCCAGAACCAGUUACACUGGCCUUGAAGUGACUGAAGAAGACCAUUCUCCACAGGCCUGCACUUAGGCCCGAAGCCCUCUUCCCCUAUUUUGAGUGACUACUCUAUUUCUUUGUCCCUGCUGUCGUCAGGGACGAUUGCAUGGGCUACGCCAGGAAAGUAGGCUGGGUGACUGCAGGCCUGGUGAUUGGGGCUGGAGCCUGCUAUUGCAUUUACAGAUUGGCCCGAGGAAGAAGGCAGAGCAAGGAGAAAAUGGCUGAGGGUGGCUCUGCUGAUGUGGAUGAUGCUGGGGACUGUUCUGGGGCCAG